GACGAACGCUGGCGGCGUGCUUAACACAUGCAAGUCGAACGGUAAGGCCUCUUCGGGGGUACACGAGUGGCGAACGGGUGAGUAACACGUGAGUAACCUGACCUUGACUGUGGGAUAACAUCUGGAAACAGGUGCUAAUACCUGAUAUGAGCCUUUUACGCAUGGGGAGGGUUGGAAAGCUCAGGCGGUCCUGUGUGAAAUCGCGGACUAUCAGCUGGUUGGUGGGGUGGUGGAUCACCAAGGCGCCGACGGGUAGCCGGCCUGAGAGGGCGACCGGCCACAUUGGGACUGAGAUACGGCCCAAACUCCUACGGGAGGCAGCAGUGGGGAAUAUUGCACAAUGGGCGGAAGCCUGAUGCAGCAACGCCGCGUGCGGGAUGACGGCCUUCGGGUUGUAAACCGCUUUCAGCAGGGACGAAGCUAACGUGACGGUACCUGCAGAGGAAGCACCGGCUAACUACGUGCCAGCCGCCGCCGUAAAAC
rnacentral:rRNA from 1 species